GAUAUAGAUACAUGCCGGAAGCCCAAACUAAGCGCUAACUUUUCCAGAAGUAUCUCAUGAUCUGGGUAAGUAUAAGAGUGAAGCAAGACCACAGCUAAGCAACUAAUACCCUUUUGCAGCAAAGCAUUCAGUAACGGUUUCAGAGCUUCCUCAUCAAGUGGCUUUACAACCCUGACAAGCUCGCCCGAAAUACCUUGAACAAGUGAUGGAGAAGAGUUCACAUCUACUCCCUCCUUAUCAAGAACCAGCUCAACUCUCUCAUCAACCUCU
rnacentral:misc_RNA from 1 species